AAUACCUUUUUAUUUUUAAAUACUUGAGGUAUACCACUUCAAUGGUGGUCAGGAAUGUAGGUGGCCACACGAAGACAUUGGAGGCAAAGCACAGUGCUGUUCCAUGGACCAGACGAUGAGGCAGAAGAGGCUUGUCGGGAUGGAAGGCGCCCACGUGGGAGGCGGCCACCUCACCCUUCUUCCGCCAUGCUCGCGCAGGUGACCCCUGCACCCCGGUCAAAGCAGUCAAAGCGGCAAGCCAACGCAGUAAUGGGGGGACUGUGGAGGACCAGCGCGCGGCAUCAGACUCGCAAUGCAGAACGAGAGAAGGUGGAAAGGACCGGAGGAUAACUGCUCUAUUAGCUUCCCCUUACGAAGAUACAGAAACACGAGGAGGAGAGAGAGAGAGAGAGAGCAGUAGCAGCAGCAGCAGAGGUAGAUCUCGAGAGAUCUCAAGGAAAGCGAUGGAGCUCAGACACCGUCAGAUCUGCUCGGUAUCAGAGACGUCGGGCUCUCUCUCUCUCUCUCUCUCUCUCUCUCUCUCUCUCUCUUCAGGAUAUUAGAUAGAAUCGGGAAGCCGGGCUGCUGCUGCUCCUCCUCCCAUCUCUUUUCCUCGCUCCUUGUAGAAGACGAUGGCGUCCUGCUCUCUCUCCUCCUCCUCCACCACCUCCUCCUCCUCCUCGAAGCUCGAUUCCAAGCUCACUCCAUCUCUAGUCCCCUUCCUUCGCGAGUCCCCAUCAGCCACUUCUCUUUUUCUUUUUCUUGCUGUUCGUGGAUUUCUCUGAGCCCAAUGCUGCCUGCGAGUCGUUCGACUACCGAGAGUGUCGUAGUAAUGCACGUCGUACGUGGGCGGUGGUCGGACCAUGGUGCCCCUGCUCCGGUUGCUUGCCACUGUGCUCCAUCUCGAGGGGGUAAUCUCGCCAUUUCCCGGCAUUGCUCCGGUGGUCCUCCCGGGCCGGAGGUCUCGUUGUUGGCUUCUGCCCGCCCGCCUGCCCGCGUGCACAUGGGUGAGCGAAGACCGCUGCAGCUACAUCAUCUCUAUCUCUCUCUCGUGUUCUGCUCUGUUUACGCUGAUCAAUGCAUUAGGAAGCAAAGAGCGGAGAGCAGCAGAAUUAAAUGAUGGUAAUGACUGCUACUUUUUAUCCGCA